GGCUGAAAUACCGCCUUCAUGAAGCUGGAAUUGCUAGUAAUGGCAGGUCAGCAUACUGCCGUGAAUACGUUCCCGGGCCUUGUACACACCGCCCGUCACACCAUGAGAGUUGGGAAUACCCGAAGCCUGUGAGCUAACUUAUAGAGGCAGCAGUCGAAGGUAGAAUCAAUGAUUGGGUGAAGUCGUAACAAGGUAGC
rnacentral:rRNA from 1 species